rnacentral:misc_RNA from 1 species
AAGUCGUAACAAGGUUUCCGUAGGUGAACCUGCGGAAGGAUCAUUAACACGUAUCCAACGUUAAACCCCCCUGUGAACCUUCAGAAGUCCGUUCUCGUAACACCAGUGCGCCUCAGCAAUCCCGGUAAAUCAUUGUCGACCAGUAUUGAUUCGGGACCUCUGACAAAUGCCUUACGAUCGAGCUGUACAGUGACAUGGCUUCCAGUGAAUGAAAGUGUCACCGGAUAACGCCUCACGAUUGCUGGGUCGACCACCGGCCAGCUUCCAUGUCAUACUACUUUAUAGUUCGGGCUUGCUAAAUACACGCCCAAAAAAACGAACAACUGUUAACAAUGGAUAUCUUGGUUCUC